UGCAUCAGCAGCACCAUGCUCCAGUGCUCUGGGAGAGUUUAUAGUCCUGAGAGUUGAACACUGGAUGACUGACAGCUGUCCUUCAUGACAACAGAAGCCACAGAAAUCCUCCUCAUCAAAAACAUGACUUUGAUCUCCGUCCUCAUCUGGACUCUCCUCUGCUGCUGCUUCACAGAGUCCAGAGGUCAGGUCACAGUGACUCAGCCUGGAGCAGUGAGCUCUGCUGUGGGAGGCUCCAUCACCAUCACAUGUAGGACCAGUCAGGAUGUUUAUAACUCUAACUACUUAGCCUGGUACCAACAGAGAGAUGGAGAAACUCCUAAACUGCUAAUUUACCUCACCAGCACUCGAGCAUCAGGGAUUCCAGGUCGUUUUACAGGCAGUGGAUCAAAGUCUGACUUCACUCUGACCAUCAGUGGAGUCCAGACUGAAGAUGCAGCAGUUUACUACUGUCAGAGUGAACACUACAUCAACAGUCAGUGGUUGUUCACACAGUGAAAAAGCAUCGUACAAAAACCUCCCUCAGUCAGACUGAACAGAAACUGAACUGACUGCUGCAGCUGGAAGCUACUGCAGAGACUGAUACACUUCACUGAGGACACACACACACACACACAAACACACUGUGCACACGCACACACACACACUGUGCACACACAGUUCUCAUUAUAAUCUCUUUUUCUUUUGUGAUUGAUUUGAUUGAUUUGCUAGUUAAUAAAGAGGAGACAAGCUCAGACAGUAAAUUAGAAAAGACUUGGUCACGACCUUUGACCUCAGCUUCAUACUGGAUCACAGCCAUCUCAACUCUGUCCAGUUACAAGAAAACAUCGACACACAGAGCAGCAUCAGAAAUAUUCAUAAUAAAA